CUUGUACCCCCUCCGUCCGAAAAUACUUGUCAUUGAAAUGGAUGUAUCUAGAUGUAUUUUAGUUCUAGACACAUCCAUUUUGAUGACAAGUAAUUCCAGACGGAGGGAGUACUUG
rnacentral:pre_miRNA from 1 species